GCAGAAGGCGAGGCAAUCGCUGGUUGGCGGUGGUGCUUUGGCAUCAGUUGUCGACUGGAGGAAAGUCCGGGCUCCGCAGGACAGGAUGGUCGAUAACGUCGACCGGCCGCGAGGUUAGGGAAAGUGCAGCAGAAAGCAAACCGCCGAACGAUUCACUUCGGUGGAUGCGUGGCAAGGGUGAAACGGUGUGGUAAGAGCACACCAGCGGCUAAGGUGACUUAGUCGGCUUGGUAAACCCCAUCCGGAGCUAGACCAAACAGGGUGCAGAAGUUGUCCGCUUCGCAAUGACACUCGGGUAGGUCGCGAUUGAGGCGACGAGCAAUCGUCGUGCACAGAUAAAUGGUUGCCAUCGAAGUGCUUGUCAUUUCGAGACAGAACCCGGCUUACAAGCCUUCUGCUGUU
rnacentral:RNase_P_RNA from 1 species